UGACCCUGGGAUCUGCCCCAGAACCAGUGUCCAGGGUCCCCAGGAGAGAAGGGACACCUCAGCAGAAUCCAUUUUUAGGCCAUUUCAGGGUUAAUAAGGUUUCUCCAUUGGCAGAAUUACAGGAAUUGAACGUUCUCCACAACUUAUUUUAAUUCUAACUAAAUAAUAUGGCUACAGGGAGCACCAAAGGAAUCUUAAGGGGGAAAUGCUGAAGUUGGGUCAUUCUCAAGACUUUGGGUCUGUGAGGUCCACUGACUCAUCAGAGAAAGGAGUGUGGCAUGGACGGAUGCUGUGCACAGCAGUGAAUCGCAGUAACAAGUUCACAGAAAACUUCAGGAGGCUUUUACAAAGGCUUGUAAGCACUUUGAAGCUGGAGACUGUUUUUAUAUACGUACAGCACUUGCGUAACAAGGUCUCGACAGUGAAUGGGAUUCCAGGGUGCAGUUGCAAUAAAGUGAUUAAUAGUA